rnacentral:rRNA from 1 species
UAGGGAAUCUUCGGCAAUGGACGGAAGUCUGACCGAGCAACGCCGCGUGAGUGAAGAAGGUUUUCGGAUCGCAAAGCUCUGUUGUAAGAGAAGAACGAGUGUGAGAGUGGAAAGUUCACACUGUGACGGUAUCUUACCAGAAAGGGACGGCUAACUACGUGCCAGCAGCCGCGGUAAUACGUAGGUCCCGAGCGUUGUCCGGAUUUAUUGGGCGUAAAGCGAGCGCAGGCGGUUAGAUAAGUCUGAAGUUAAAGGCUGUGGCUUAACCAUAGUAGGCUUUGGAAACUGUUUAACUUGAGUGCAAGAGGGGAGAGUGGAAUUCCAUGUGUAGCGGUGAAAUGCGUAGAUAUAUGGAGGAACACCGGUGGCGAAAGCGGCUCUCUGGUUUGUAACUGACGCUGAGGCUCGAAAGCGUGGGGAGCAAACAGGAUUAGAUACCCUGGUAGUCCACGCUGUAAACGAUGAGUGCUAGGUGUUAGACCCUUUCCGGGGUUUAGUGCCGUAGCUAACGCAUUAAGCACUCCGCCUGGGGAGUACGACCGCAAGGUUG